GGUCCGCUGGCGUAAUGGCAGCGCGUCUGACUACGAUUUCAAAUCAGUUUAAUCAGGAGGUUCCAGGUUCGACCCCUGGGCGGAUCG